rnacentral:tRNA from 1 species
AAGACUUUAAGUUAAAUAAACUAAAAACCUUCAAAGUUUUAAAUAGACACAUUCUAAGUCUUG